UUACGAGCUCCUUUAACUAUUCUAUUACCUGGCCCUGAAAUUCACCCUGGGAGCCUGCUCCAAUCUUUGAGAAGAGGAAGAGAAGAGGAACAAUAUGACCACAGUUUGGGGCUUUGAAGCAGCUUUCAUGGGGGUGUUUUCAAAGGGAAUGAAAGCAGAAGGCAUUUGCUGCGUGGCAAAGGCACUUGCUUGCAACCUCUAACCUAGGCAACUGGGAAAGUUUACAAUGAAGGGGAAGAGACAGCAGGCUCCCAGAAUCAGGAGUCUCCUUGGCUUGCAAAAGGCCGCCAGGAUUAUAAAUACAAGGUGACUUCCAGCUCAUUUGUGCAUCAAAUCAUUCGUAACUUCUGACCAUUGCUUAAAAGUGUCUGGGAUAAGAGCUGAGAGGAAAAAGUAGCUGGCUUGGUGAUGCAGUCUUCAACAAAAACACUGAGAGGUG
rnacentral:lncRNA from 1 species